CAAUAGCGUAUAUUAAAGUUGUUGCGGUUAAAAAGCUCGUAGUUGGAUUUCUGCCGAGGACGACCGGUCCGCCCUCUGGGUGUGUAUCUGGUUUGGCCUGGGCAUCUUCUUGGAGAACGUAGCUGCACUUGACUGUGUGGUGCGGUGUCCAGGACUUUUACUUUGAGGAAAUUAGAGUGUUUCAAGCAGGCACACGCCUUGAAUACAUUAGCAUGGAAUAAUAAGAUAGGACCUCGGUUCUAUUUUGUUGGUUUCUAGAGCUGAGGUAAUGAUUAAUAGGGAUAGUUGGGGGCAUUCGUAUUUAACUGUCAGAGGUGAAAUUCUUGGAUUUGUUAAAGACGGACUACUGCGUAAGCAUUUGCCAAGGAUGUUUUCAUUGA
rnacentral:rRNA from 1 species